GCCUUCAUGGGGUAGUGGUCAACACGCUUGACAUGUAUUCAAGAAGUCCAUGGUUCAAGUCCCAGCGAGGGCA
rnacentral:tRNA from 1 species